rnacentral:lncRNA from 1 species
CUCCUCUGGAGUUUCUCCAGGGCUCAGCCUCCAUUUCUGAGCCUCUGCUGGUCUGGAACUCAGGUCUCUGGCCUCUGCUGGGCUCUGCCUCCAGUCUCGAAGAGACCUCGAACUUGACUCUUGGGCUCCCCCUAUCACCAGCCUCCUAUCUCUGGACUCCCGGGGACUUAGCCUCUCUUCUCUGGACUCUCUUCCCUUAGGACUCUGAUCUCUUAAAUUACCAGGACUUGAUCUCCUUUCUAGAACCUCCAGAGGCCCAGCCUUCCUAUCACCAAGCACCUCGUUUCUCUGCUGCUGCUGCUGUUGCUGCUGCCGCUGUCGCUCCUGUUGGAUGAAUCGAUUCUGAUGUACUGGUCCAAUAGCCUCCAAAAGGACAGCAGAUUCAUCUGGGUCUGGAGGUCCAGCCUCAGCAUUCCCAGGCACAGGGCUCCCCUCUCCAGGAGGCAGGCCCAACUUGGCUCUGCGUCGUUCCAGGAUUCCCCUCUUCCAGGCUGGCAUCUGGGACAAGCGAUCCCGUUCUGCUUUCUCGCGGCCACGAACCGCUGCCUCCUCCUGCCUCCGCCGGGCUAGCAACUGUAGCUUCCAAUCUGGGAUAGCGGUCAUGGUCACUGGAAGUGAAGGAGAGAGUAUUGGGGGACAGGAACAGGAAGGGUAAGCUUCAGAGGAGCCCGGAGACUGAGAAUGGGGGUUGGGGGAGGAAGUGAUGCGGGAAGGGACGAAGAAGGGCAGGAGGGGACAGUGGAAUUAAGAAUGAAGAUAGAGGAAGGCCGUGAAAGGAAGGACAGCAAAAGAGUCAGGAACUGAAAAACUGAAGAGAAAAGCUGGGUGCCAAGUUGGGGGUGGGGAUAGUGGGAGAGGAAGAGUCGAGAUUCCGGGCAGAGGCAGAGCUAGAUUGGGGUUUGUGGGCACCAGACCGUCCCUAAGAUAUAAGAAAGGGGAGAGAGGAAAAGCAGGAGAGAGAGAGGAGCCGGAGGAGCCGGGGCUGAGAAGUGAGCGGAUUCAGUCAAGACUGCCUCCCCCGGUACGCAGGGGGAGAUAAACGGGAAGAACAGGGAACCAGACGGCGAAGGGCGAGGAGAUCGGGCAGGAGGUGAGGAGGUUCUUCCUUGAUGACUACAGUUUUCUGGGAG